rnacentral:rRNA from 1 species
AAGACCCUGCACUUUUGGAGCGGCCGAUGUCUGAUUAGCUAGUUGGUGGGGUAAUGGCCUACCAAAGCUUCGAUCAGUAGCUGGUCUGAGAGGACGGCCAGCCACACUGGGACUGAGACACGGCCCAGACUCCUACGGGAGGCAGCAGUGGGGAAUUUUGGACAAUGGGCGCAAGCCUGAUCCAGCCAUGCCGCGUGAGUGAAGAAGGCCUUCGGGUUGUAAAGCUCUUUCAGCCGGGAAGAAAAGGUUGCGACUAAUAAUCGCAAUUCAUGACGGUACCGAAAGAAGAAGCACCGGCUAACUACGUGCCAGCAGCCGCGGUAAUACGUAGGGUGCGAGCGUUAAUCGGAAUUACUGGGCGUAAAGGGUGCGCAGGCGGUUUUGUAAGUCAGAUGUGAAAUCCCCGGGCUUAACCUGSGAACU